UAAAAGUUGUCACAAGUUGUAACAAGAAACAGAAAUCAGUUUGUUGCUUAGAUCGAUAUAUAAGUUGGAAGGAGCUAUGUAUGCAUAUAUCUGUAUGUGCUACACUGGAGGUUUCUGCGGGCGCGUCUCCGCCGGCCCGAGAUGGUCGGGAAACCUCUGAACCACCUCCCGUGAUAGGGAUCGGGGCCUGGAAUCAACCCCGUGAAGGAGGAAUUCCCGGAGAUCAGAAGAGCACAAGUCUG